CAGAAGACAUUCUGAGCAGCGCCCUAUCGGCGAGCAGCGAACCGUUUCAGGGUAGGUUGAGCUGUGAAGUGGGAAUAAAGGGCAGUGAGGCGGAACCGCGAGUGGAGAGCGCAGAAGUCGGGGAGCUGAUACGUGGAGAGAUUUGUACUGUAAACGGCAAAAGAUGCCAGACAAACCGAGCAACAGUGAGAAGCAGGACAUGUCAGAGGUGAAGAGGUUCAACAGGGGCAGCUUAAAGAAGACAGAAGUCCGAGUAAAGAAUCCACUGCCAACACAAGAGGUGAUUGAGCAAGAGAAGAAGGAAGCGACAAAGGCAGCCUCCUGAUAGCAGCAGCAAACCAGCUUCUUCGUCCAUAUGCAUUCCACAACGCCAACCAGUUUGCUUUAUACACAAGCCCAGCAUAUCCAUAAUCAGAGCACUGUGCCUUGAGGACCCUCGCCUUUCAAUAUUCAAGGCACUUUCCACUUGUAUUUGGUGAUUAUAUUUCGUUGUUGUUUAUUUGUUUUGCUUUUGCCACAGCUUUAAGCGCAGAAAAGUGGAGGUAAUGGAGGCCAGGGUGAGGAUGGCAGAUACUGGGUUAUUGCAUGGCAGACCCCAGCUGGGUUUAGACAAUGUAAUGGUGGUUUGUACCUGUUCUUUUUAUUUCUGUCUUCCAAUUUAAAAAAAACUUCACUCAGUGUUUAAUAUGAAAAUGAAAUAAAAUGUACAUUUGAAAUAAA